rnacentral:rRNA from 1 species
GAUGAACGCUGGCGGCGUGCCUAAUACAUGCAAGUCGAGCGAACGGACGAGAAGCUUGCUUCUCUGAUGUUAGCGGCGGACGGGUGAGUAACACGUGGAUAACCUACCUAUAAGACUGGGAUAACUUCGGGAAACCGGAGCUAAUACCGGAUGAUAUUUUGAACCGCAUGGUUCAAAAGUGAAAGACGGCCUUGCUGUCACUAUUCGUGGAUCCGCGCCUCAUUAGCUAGUUGGUAAGGUAACGGCUUACCAAGGCAACGAUGCAUAGCCGACCUGAGAGGGUGAUCGGCCACACUGGAACUGAGACACGGUCCAGACUCCUACGGGAGGCAGCAGUAGGGAAUCUUCCGCAAUGGGCGAAAGCCUGACGGAGCAACGCCGCGUGAGUGAUGAAGGUCUUCGGAUCGUAAAACUCUGUUAUUAGGGAAGAACAUAUGUGUAAGUAACUGUGCACAUCUUGACGGUACCUAAUCAGAAAGCCACGGCUAACUACGUG